rnacentral:rRNA from 1 species
ACAUGCAUUUGCUUUUUGGUAACUGAUCUCAUCAAAACUCCACAAUUAAGCGUGCUUGACUUGGAGUAGUAUUGGGAUGGGUGACCUUUUGAAAAGUUUCCCAGAAAAUGUGUA